GGCGCACGGGUGCGUAACGCGUAUGCAACCUACCUUUUACUGGGGGAUAGCCCGGAGAAAUUCGGAUUAAUACCCCAUAGUAUCUAUUAAUGGCAUCAUUUGAUAGAUUAAAGUUUCGGCGGUAAAAGAUGGGCAUGCGUCCUAUUAGCUAGAUGGUAAGGUAACGGCUUACCAUGGCUACGAUAGGUAGGGGGCCUGAGAGGGUAGUCCCCCACACUGGUACUGAGACACGGACCAGACUCCUACGGGAGGCAGCAGUGAGGAAUAUUGGUCAAUGGACGCAAGUCUGAACCAGCCAUGCCGCGUGCAGGAAGAAUGCCCUAUGGGUUGUAAACUGCUUUUAUACAGGAAGAAACACUCCCUCGUGAGGGAGCUUGACGGUACUGUAGGAAUAAGGAUCGGCUAACUCCGUGCCAGCAGCCGCGGUAAUACGGAGGAUCCAAGCGUUAUCCGGAAUCAUUGGGUUUAAAGGGUCCGUAGGCGGCUUAAUAAGUCAGUGGUGAAAGCCCUACGCUUAACGUAGGAACGGCCAUUGAUACUGUUAGGCUUGAAUUAUUAGGAAGUAACUAGAAUAUGUAGUGUAGCGGUGAAAUGCUUAGAGAUUACAUGGAAUACCAAUUGCGAAGGCAGGUUACUACUAAUGGAUUGACGCUGAUGGACGAAAGCGUGGGUAGCGAACAGGAUUAGAUACCCUGGUAGUCCACGCCGUAAACGAUGGAUACUAGCUGUUGGGAGCAAUCUCAGUGGCUAAGCGAAAGUGAUAAGUAUCCCACCUGGGGAGUACGUUCGCAAGAAUGAAACUCAAAGGAAUUGACGGGGGCCCGCACAAG
rnacentral:rRNA from 1 species